UACGUAGGGGGCGAGCGUUGUCCGGAUUUAUUGGGCGUAAAGAGCAUGCAGGCGGCCCUGCAAGUGGAAGGUUACAAUUCCUGGCUUAACCGGGAAACCGCCUUCCAAACUACAUGGCUUGAGAGCGAGAGAGGGACAUGGAACUCCGAGUGAAGCAGUGAAAUGCGUAGAUAUUCGGAAGAACACCAAGGCGAAGGCAGUGUCCUGGCUCGUCUCUGACGCUCAGGUGCGAAAGCGAGGGGAGCGAACGGG
rnacentral:rRNA from 1 species